rnacentral:rRNA from 1 species
AAACUUUACAAUGCGGGAAACCGCGAUAAGGGGACACUGAGUGCCAGCAUAUUAUGUUGGCUGUCCACAUGUAUAAAAACCAUGUGUUAGCAAGGGCCGGGCAAGACCGGUGCCAGCCGCCGCGGUAACACCGGCGGCCCGAGUGGUGAUCACUUUUAUUGGGUCUAAAGGGUCCGUAGCCGGUUUGAUCAGUCCUCUGGGAAAUCUGACAGCUCAACUGUUAGGCUUCCAGGGGAUACUGUUAGACUCGGGACCGGGAGAGGUAAGAGGUACUACAGGGGUAGGAGUGAAAUCUUGUAAUCCCUGUGGGACCACCAGUGGCGAAGGCGUCUUACCAGAACGGGUCCGACGGUGAGGGACGAAAGCUGGGGGCACGAACCGGAUUAGAUACCCGGGUAGUCCCAGCCGUAAACGAUGCUCGCUAGGUGUCAGGGACGGUGCGACCGUUUCUGGUGCCGCAGGGAAGCCGUGAAGCGAGCCACCUGGAAGUACGCCGCAAGGC